UUAGGUAAUUUUGCCAGAGGAGAUACACCUGUUCCCAUGCCGAACACAGUAGUUAAGUCCUCUUGGGCCGGAAGUAGUUGGGGGUUGCCCCCUGUGAGAUAAGGUCAUUGCCUAGU
rnacentral:rRNA from 1 species